CUUAUUUCAAAUUAGACCUGAACUUCUGGAUAUCUAGUCAAAUAGAGUAAAUUGUCUUGAAGGCAGAAGAAAGUUUGUAGAUGGAAAAAGGAUCUCUGAAUAUACCAGCCUUCAUUCCUUAUAAAUCCCAUGCCUUGUGGGCACCAGUGCCAUCAUUCUCCCCAUGUUUGGAGUUGGCUCACUAUCUGUCCUUAAAUGACCUACUGAUAACGUUACUAUACUUACCAAGGUGUGGAAGCACGCACUUUUUACCCAAAGAAACAUGUAAAUAUCUCCAGGAAUUUAUGUAGUGUUUUUAUCAGUAUAGGGGCAGAAAGAACAAAAGUAAAAGAAAGGAUGCAUAUAAAGUUAUUAAUAUGGAUAUUGAGAUAGAUUAUAUAGAUAGGUCACAUACAUAGAGAGAUUAUAUAUUCUAAACUAGAUUUGGAUUGUCACUGUUUAUAAAUUAGAUGAGAUUCUCCAUUCCAAUUACAGCCAACUUCUAGCUUUUGUUUGUAGGCUAUAUUCCAGUAAGACCCCUCUCACCUUAGGCUGGGUUGCAGAUAUUAAACCUUGACUUACCUGGCUUGUUUCAUGAGAAAUAGUUUAUGUUACCACCACUAGCGGCCAUGUUUAUUUUUAGUAGCUUUUCUGAGUUUCUAGAGUAAUAUGUAGCAAAACAAAUCUCAUGAGAAUGAAAAAAUAUUCAGUGAUCUCUGACAGUGCAAUGUAAUCAGGUUCCAGAAUGUUUAUAGCCUUUGUCAAAAGAAUGGAACUAAGAUGAAACUAAGGUACUUGGUACAAUAUUUCACAAUCCCUCCCAUCACCAUAACAACAGAUAACCCAAGUAUCUGGGACAUUAGUAGCAUAUCGAGACACUCAGCUUUCCUUUGUGAACUUUACUUUCAAUUUGUAGAUGUUUGCCUUUGGAGGUUUCAUGUUCUUUUUCUUAAGAAGUUUUGGCAGCUUAGAUAUCCUGUCAGAAUUUGGGUAUCAGAUUCUAUUCUACUCAUUACCUAAGAAGAUAUCAUAGUUCUGCAUGGUGGUAUUUGCCAUGGAAGGCAGGUAAGCAUUGAGAUCUCCAUGUUUGAAUGAUUCAACUGUAGAAUCAUUAAAGAGUUAUAAUAUAAGCUGAUACUUUAUUUCUUCUUAUAUUAGUUCUUAGAAUAUAUCUAUUUCUUUUUAAAGAUUUUAUUUCUUUAUUCAUGAGAGACACACAGAGAGAGAGGCUGAGGCAUAGACAGAGAGAGAAGCAGGCUCUAUGCAGGGAGCCUGAUGUGGCACUCAAUCCUGGGACUCCAGGAUCAUGCCCUGGGCCAAAGGCAGAUGCUCAACCACUGAGCCACCCAGGUAUCCCUAUCUAUUUUUUGGGCAAUUUUCAAAUGCAUUGCCAUAUUUCAUAUUUUUGUAUCUUUUAAAUAUUAGUAGAAUCAAUAUUUCU
rnacentral:lncRNA from 1 species